ensembl:snRNA U6 U6 spliceosomal RNA
CUGAACAACUCUGACUCACUCAUACUAAAAUUAGAACAAUACAGAGAAGAUUAGCAUGACCCCUAGAUAAGGAGAACACACAAAUUCAUGAAACAUUUCAUUUUUUC